GUUUGUGUUAGCAAGGAAACAGUGCGGUUGGCCGGAGAAAAUCCCUAGCAGCCUAGCGCCAUUCCAUUCGACGAGUAUAAAGACAACGAAACCAUACGCCCUGUUCUUCUCUCCUUUGCUUUUCCAGCUUUUUUUUCUCCAACUCUUACCCAUCCUCUUCUUCUCCCUGGAUAAGUGUAUGAGCCCCAUACCUCUCCACUUGUUGUUAUUUCGGUCUUGAUUGGGUUUUGCUCCUCUUGGCCCAGCGCUGCGUCUUUCUUCCAUCCACUCCGUCAGGACCGCCUGUCGCUCCACUACAUAGAAUCCCAAACAAGUUUCCUAUACAGUACGUUCAAAUACAAAAAAGGAAAAACGCACACAAAAAAAACAAACAAAAAAACAUUGAAAAAAAAAAGCCUAAAAAAAGCCCAACAAAAUUAAAGUGAAAACUGGUGAAAAAAAAGGAGGAGGGAGGGCGGGAGGGAGCUACAGGCAGAGGCAAAAUUGUUGGCUGUUGUAGAGUUUGGCUCUCGGCCGCAGGGUCGUCUGAUACCUCAUCGUCAAUUUAUAAAUAAUACAUUAGUCCGUGUAGAUAAGGAUGCUUCCAUUUACCGAUUUUUUCAGCUCUCUACCCAGCGAUGUUACCAUCCGGGCAAUCCAUCCAUCCAUCGCCAAGCCGGGACAACUCUUGGCGUGAUUCCUGAAUUCAGCAUGCAGGGUCAUUUCUUUUUUUACGUCCGGCGAAGCUGUUGAUCAGAUCAGCCGUACCAGUGCAAUAAUCUCGACUUGCCAGCUGCUUUAGAAGCAUAUAACCUAUGUUUCGCUAGUAAAGCUGUAACCUGUAACGCCCGCACUCAAAUCGACGAAAACAAUGUGGGAAGUUACCACGUCUUUUGCUUUGUUAGAAUUAAUUAGUAUCUACAAGCGUUGUACAACUUAAGGUUUUUUGUUCAAAGUUGUCUACUUUGCUUAGACAAGGCCAUUCGGCCAACAUCUCGAGGUGACCUACAGCGCAGCAGAAAUGUCACGUUUGCUAACACUGGACAUAAACAUGGCUUAUAUUUACGGCUUAGGCUACAAUGAUACCCAUAGGUUUAUUAUCAGCGAUGUCCUCUAUGGUGUCCGAUCGGUUGAGUUAUACGUCAUCUCUGGACUCCUCCACGCAUUUAUUCCUAGUGAUCACAUCCGUAUAUAACCUCCAUAUUACGGAAUCAAAACGACACAUUUUUAGAUUAGUCAUCGUGAAUCAUUACGUUGGGACCUGGUUGGAAUUCGCUCCUAUCUAAUGAUAUGCCCUUUGAUAUUUUAGGCCCUAAACUAUUUUUAAGGUGCUCGUUUACGAGCAUAGCGUUGGAGAUCUUGAUCCACUUAAUUUAUUAAACCACUAGAAAUAUGACGAAUUAAUUUUCGACGGGGAUUGGUAACCUCAUACCAAAAUAUAUGAGAUUCUAAAUUUUGACUUAAUUUGCAAAAUUUUUAGCGAAAAAACAAUUAUUUGGCCUGACAAAAAUUCCAUCUCCUGCUGUUACAAAAGCUGCUUUAAAAAAUUGGAUCAGAAGGGAAUUAUAAGAUUUUCUAAAAAUGUCUUCGUGUUAAAGGCUCUACAAGUUUCUGAGAACGAAAAACAGUUCUUGUAACCAUGCAAAACAACAUCAGCUAGUAGAUUGGGAUGAUAAACUGCAAAAUUGUGUACUUUUUUUUGGGUUCGAAUUUGGUAUCCUUGAACUAAGGAGAAGCAAAAUUCAUUUUUGCGUUCCAAUGCCCCCCACCAUCUCUCUACACCAAACCUGCAGUCUAUUUGCGUCACCCGGUCGUAUGAUGCCAUGUUUAAACCACUGUACAAAGGCCUAAAGUGGGUCUAGAGCAUAUUUUUGCAUUCUGGUAACGGUAUU